rnacentral:tRNA from 1 species
GAGAUAUUAGAAAAAUCAUUUCAUGGCUUUGUCAAAGCCAAAUUAUAGGCCGAAUCCUAUAUGUCUUA